AGUGAACGCUGGCGGUAUGCCUAACACAUGCAAGUCGAACGGCAGCACAGUAAGAGCUUGCUCUUACGGGUGGCGAGUGGCGGACGGGUGAGGAAUACAUCGGAAUCUACUUUUUCGUGGGGGAUAACGUAGGGAAACUUACGCUAAUACCGCAUACGUCCUACGGGUGAAAGCAGGAGAGCUUCGGACCUUUCGCGAUUGAAUGAGCCGAUGUCGGAUUAGCUAGUUGGCUGGGUAAAGGCCCACCAAGGCGACGAUCCGUAGCUGGCCUGAGAGGAUGAUCAGCCACACUGGAACUGAGACACGGUCCAGACUCCUACGGGAGGCAGCAGUAGGGAAUCUUCGACAAUGGGCGCAAGCCUGAUGCAGCCAUACCGCGUGGGUGAAGAAGGCCUUCGGGUUGUAAAGCCCUUUUGUUGGGAAAGAAAAGCAGCAGGUUAAUACCCCGCUGUUCUGACGGUACCUAAAGAAUAAGCACCGGCUAACUUCGUG
rnacentral:rRNA from 1 species